GCGGGUAUAGCUCAAUUGGAAGAGUACCAGCUUCCCAAGCUGGGGGUUGCGGGUUCGAUCCCCGUUGCCCGCUCCA
rnacentral:tRNA from 1 species